AUAUGUGCUCUAUUAUUAUUACUCAACCCUUCACAUUCAUUUCAUUCUCCAUGCAACUUUCAUUUCUUCCAAAUUCUAAUAAUAAAUCUAACAGAUACUAGUAUAUGAAUAACUAAAUCCAAAAUAAUAGCUAGAAGGUAAAACAGCAGAUUUAUCAUACACUUUCUGUGUUCUUUCUGGAAAAUCUUUCUCUUGCAAGUUGCAACAAACUGUGUCAGAGAAAGUUUAUCUGGUUGAAACUUUGGGUUUGAGAUCUAUUUUGGCAAGGUGAAGUUUUGUACUUUCUCACUUUGGUUUCUGAGAUUUGAAAUCUAGCUUUUUGACUUAGUUUUUGUGAUUAUGGAGACACUUGUUGUUGUUGAGCAACAUAAGAAUCAAUACUGUAGCAGUUCUAAGCCACAACAAGACCAUGGUAGAUUUGAGUAUUCAACUUCCAAAGACUUUAUAGGGAUUAAUUGCAGGACUUUUGAGUCUGGUUUAGCUUUAUCACCUACUACACCAUUGAAAUCUUUUGAUGAAAGUCCUAAUUUGAAAACUACUCCUAAGACUAAGAUAAGUGAUCCAAUUCCAAUUAAUGGCAAAGGUUUUAGAAAUGAAAGAAUUUUUGAUGAAAGUGAUGGAGGCAUUUUGCUAUCUGAGUUAUGGGCUGGACCUACAUACUCGAAUUCGCCACCGCCUAGUUCGUUGCCGAUUCCUAAGUUUUCUGUGAGGCCUAAAAGGACUGUGUCUCUUGAUCUUCCUGGUUCGUCUCGUGAGAUUGAACUGGGUUUCAUGGCUAAGUCUGCGCCGUGUUCUCCGACUAGGGAGCGUUUGGAUUUUACUAGGGAUCUUUUUGUUAAUGCUGAUUCUGCUACUAAGACGUUGUGUCGGAUUCUCAAUCUUAAUGUCAGCGAUGAGUGACAUAGAAGGAGCGUUGUAAUCGUGUAAAUAAGUGUGUGCAAUGAAACUGGGUUGGUUAAUGCUAGAUGUGUAUAAAGGUUCAAUAAAAUUUGUAAUCUUAGUUGGUUUGAGUUUGUGUAGCUUGAAGUUGUGGUGUUUUGGAAAUGGACUAGGCUUGGCAGUGGAGAGGGUUACUUGGUGUCUGUCAGAGGAAUCUGUUGAAACUUCUAUGAAAGCUUCCGUGAAAAUGAUUGGGAAGAAGAAUGACGGUAACAGGUAGGAGUGGCAUCAAACAGACCUUCGUUGGCUGCGAUUAUUGGUUCUGAAGAAUGUUGUUACAUACAAAUUGAAUCUUGAAUUUGGGAUAUGUAGUUACCACUUAGCAGAAGCUUCUUCUGAUAUAAUGGUUAACUUUCCUUUAUUCUGACAUAGGAUUUCGGUACAUACUGCUGUAGAAUCUUGCCCUUACUAAAAACCCUGAAGUCUCUCCUCUUUCUUUCUAAGUUUUUUUUCUUCUUUUUUUCCGAUUUUUAUAGCCGUAAUCUUUAAUCAUAUUCACUUCUAUCCUGAUUUACUUUUGUGUUUUGUCUGACUUCGUCACUGUCAUUAAAGUCGACUAGAUGAUUUGUAGUUUGCUAGUUACUAGUACCUUCUCUAAUCGGUCUUUAUCUUCUCAGUCAUAGUCAUUGCUACCCUCAGUGAAGGUUUUGUUUUCUCCUUCACUAUCUUUUCUGAUUUUUUCAAUGAAAAGUUAGAAGGGAUUUGUAGUAGUCUUUUGCUGCAUUUUCUACUGUUUUCUAGGAUUAAUCAACGCGGUUCCACCUGGUAAAUUUCCGUCCUUCUGGUUCUGAGUAAUGCUUGUUUCUUUAGUCCUAAUCCCCCCCUAGCUUUUCUUCCAUUUCCAUGGAGAAUGUUGACCACGCCAUGCCAAAAUUUAAGGCUGGCAAUCUUUACUGAUACUGUUUCUGCUAUGGCUCAAGAAUUGUGAUCAGUUUCAAAGUGGUCCUUUGUGGCUCGAAACUUUGUUUUUCUGUUUUUUCCUGGUUCUGUAACUAGUGUAACUUGUUUGGUCUCUGCUGAAGUAAAAUGUUAACUACUACUGUCUAUGGCCCUAAGGGACAUCAUUAUGUAUUUGAAUCAAAUACUUGCUCUCUUUAGUUUAUGCAGUGUUUCUUGAAAGUUAUAGAGUGAUUGGCUGCAUUUUGACGAAUUAUUGUAUCCGACGAUGUUAGUAAAGCUUAAUUAAUAAAAAUGUGAUGGUCCAAAAAUUAGUAAAGAUUUCUUUUAAGUAGGACUAAUGAUACUUUUUUGUGACAUUCCUAGUUUAGGGAGAAUGAGUGAGAAUGAACCCAUCAAAGAAAUUGAUGUAUACUAACAGUUUAGCAACUAAACUGUAUAAUUAGACCCGAGUAAAGGUCACAAACCUGUGAACACCAUAAAUUAGAUCCUUUUCUUGGGUACAAAUGAAAGAAGAAAAGAAAAGCGUGAUGGAAAUAUAAACUAUCGUCUCCUUCAUUUUUAACUUGUCUGCAUAUGGAUAAUUUCUCCAUAAACUAUGAAUCACUAACAUUGGUGAAAGUUUGAAUAAAUAGAUAAAUUAAGGGUUCAUUUGGUGCCCACAAUGCUGGAUAUAUUUUAUCAUGUCUUAAUCUAACUCAUUUACAUUUCUAGUCUUAUUAGUCCUAUCCUAUUAUAUGUUUGAUGCACAUAUGGUAUGAAAGAACAUGAUAUUAUUAUUUUCCACAUUCUGGGAACCGGUUCCCCAGUUCAUUUUUUCAAAUUUUUGUAACGCUGCAUAUAGGGAACCCAGGUUCUGGAUUAAGGGAACCAGUUCCCACGUGAAAAUUUUGAAAAAUUCAGAAUUUCUUCACUUCUUUAAAUGGUACCUCUUCACCUUUUAUCCUUACAUCCUUCCAUAUAUAAUAACCUUUUGUAAAGGUGUCUUAGAGGCUAUAUAUUUCAGAUUUUCAGAAUUUAUUCUUUACCUCUUUCAUUCAUAAAAAUUUAGACAAUUUAAGUAUCCGUAUCU